UACGUAGGGUGCGAGCGUUAAUCGGAAUUACUGGGCGUAAAGCGUGCGCAGGCGGUUCGUUGUGUCGGCGGUGAAAGCCCCGGGCUUAACCUGGGAAUGGCCGUUGAAACUGGCGAACUGGAGUGUGGCAGAGGGGGGUGGAAUUCCGCGUGUAGCAGUGAAAUGCGUAGAGAUGCGGAGGAACACCGAUGGCGAAGGCAGCCCCUUGGGCUAACACUGACGCUCAGGCACGAAAGCGUGGGGAGCAAACAGG
rnacentral:rRNA from 1 species